UUUCUAUUGUAAAAUAUAUUUGUUGAAUAAUAAAACCAUUAUUUAGGUUUUACAUUAUAUAUUAAUAAUAAUUACUAAGUGUUUUAAUUUUUGUAGGGUCUUUCACAAAUUUGUUUGACUGGUUUGGAAGUACCGAACUAAAUUUAUACAAAUAACUUCCAUCAACAAAGUCUUUUUGGCUUUUCAUAACAUCUUCUAUGUAUCCAGUAUCCAAAAGUACUUGUCCAAUUGCUAUACCAUGUAUUCU